rnacentral:rRNA from 1 species
ACCCGUUGAUCCUGCGGGAGGUUGCUGCUAUUCGGAUUCGAUUUAGCCAUGCAAGUCAAGGGGACUCUUCGGAGUCACCGGCGAAAUGCUCAGUAACACGUUACUAACUUGCCCAUAAGUCUGGGAUAGCCUUGGGAAACUGAGGGUAAUACCGGAUAGGAUAUACGAUCUGGAAUGAUGUAUAUCUCAAAGGUUACGCUUAUGGAUAGGGUAGCGGCUGAUUAGCUAGUUGGUAGGGUAAUGGCCUACCAAGGCGAUGAUCAGUAGGGGCCUUGAGAGAGGGAGCCCCGAGAAGGACACUGAGAUACUGGUCCUAGCCCUACGGGGUGCAGCAGGCGCGAAACCUUUACAAUGCACGAAAGUGUGAUAAGGGGAUCCGAAGUGCUCAUGCUAAGCAUGGGCUUUUUUUAUGGUUAAAAACCAUGGAGAAUAAGUGGUGGGCAAGACUGGUGCCAGCAGCCGCGGUAACACCAGCGCCACGAGUGGCAAUCGCAUAUUGGGCCUAAAGCGUCCGUAGUCGGUUUUAUAAAUCUCUUGUGAAAUUGGGGAGCUUAACUCUUCAGCGUGCAGGAGACACUGUAUUACUUGAGACCGGGAGGAGUUAGAGGUAUUCUGGGGGGAAUGGUAAAAUAUGAUAAUCCUCAGAGGACCACCUGUGGCGAAGGCGUCUAACUAGAACGGAUCUGACGAUGAGGGACGAAGGCUAGGGGAGCAAACCGGAUUAGAUACCCGAGUAGUCCUAGCAGUAAACUCUGCGGGCUAGGUGUUGUGUAGUUUUAAAAGCUAUGCAGUAUCGAAGCGAAGGCGAUAAGCCCGCCGCCUGGGAAGUACGGUCGCAAGACUGAAACUUAAAGGAAUUGGCGGGGGAGCACUACAACGGGUGCGGCGUGCGGUUUAAUCUAACUCCACACAGAGAAUCUCACCAGAGGCGACAGUAGAAUGAUAGACAGUCUAAAGGGCUUUCUUGACAAGCUGAGAGGUAGUGCAUGGCCGCCGUCAGCUCGUGCCGUAAGGUGUCCUGUUAAGUCAGGCAACGAGCGAGACCUACAUCUGCAAUUGACAGCAGGCAUUUAUGUGACUGGUCACAUUGCAGGGACUGCCUGGGAAACCAGGAGGAAGGUGUAGGCAACGGUAGGUCUGUAUGCUCCGAAUCUUCUGGGCUACACGCGCGCAACAUUGGCUAUGACAAUGGGCUGCUACUCCGAAAGGAGACGCUAAUCCUCGAAACAUAGUCUCGGUUCAGAUUGAGGGUUGUAACUCACCCUCAUGACGCUGGAAUCCGUAGUAAUCAGAGUUCAUCAGACUCUGGUGAAUACGUCCCUGCUCCUUGCACACACCGCCCGUCAAACCACUCGAGUAAAGUUUAAGUGAGCGUUAGUCUCUUAACUAAUUCAAACUUAGGCUUUGUGAGAUGGGUUAAGUCGUCACAAGGUA